GAUGAACGCUGACAGAAUGCUUAACACAUGCAAGUCUUUGGCGAAGCUGUGCUUGCACAGCCUAGCCAAGGCGGACGGGUGAGUAACGCGUAAGGAACUUGCCCUGCAGUCAGGGAUAACAGACGGAAACGACUGAUAAGACCUGGUAAAGUCAGGCGGACUCAUGUCCAGCCUGAUGAAAAGUGAUGCUGCAGGAGAGCCUUGCGUCCUAUUAGCUUGUUGGUGGGGUAACGGCCCACCAAGGCGAUGAUAGGUAGCCGGCCUGAGAGGGUGGACGGCCACAAGGGGACUGAGAUACGGCCCUUACUCCUACGGGAGGCAGCAGUGGGGAAUAUUGGACAAUGGGGGCAACCCUGAUCCGGCAAUUCUGUGUGCACGAUGAAGGUUUUCGGAUUGUAAAGUGCUUUCAGCAGGGAAGAAAAAAAUGACGGUACCUGCAGAAGAAGCGACGGCUAAAUACGUG
rnacentral:rRNA from 1 species